rnacentral:rRNA from 1 species
CCGCACUUGGGGCGUGCUUAACAUGCAAGUCGAACGGGAUCCAUCGGGCUUUGCUUGGUGGUGAGAGUGGCGAACGGGUGAGUAAUGCGUGACCGACCUGCCCCAUGCACCGGAAUAGCUCCUGGAAACGGGUGGUAAUGCCGGAUGCUCCAUCACACCGCAUGGUGUGUUGGGAAAGCCUUUGCGGCAUGGGAUGGGGUCGCGUCCUAUCAGCUUGAUGGCGGGGUAACGGCCCACCAUGGCUUCGACGGGUAGCCGGCCUGAGAGGGCGACCGGCCACAUUGGGACUGAGAUACGGCCCAGACUCCUACGGGAGGCAGCAGUGGGGAAUAUUGCACAAUGGGCGCAAGCCUGAUGCAGCGACGCCGCGUGAGGGAUGGAGGCCUUCGGGUUGUAAACCUCUUUUGUUAGGGAGCAAGGCACUUUGUGUUGAGUGUACCUUUCGAAUAAGCACCGGCUAACUACGUGCCAGCAGCCGCGGUAAUACGUAGGGUGCAAGCGUUAUCCGGAAUUAUUGGGCGUAAAGGGCUCGUAGGCGGUUCGUCGCGUCCGGUGUGAAAGUCCAUCGCUUAACGGUGGAUCCGCGCCGGGUACGGGCGGGCUUGAGUGCGGUAGGGGAGACUGGAAUUCCCGGUGUAACGGUGGAAUGUGUAGAUAUCGGGAAGAACACCAAUGGCGAAGGCAGGUCUCUGGGCCGUUACUGACGCUGAGGAGCGAAAGCGUGGGGAGCGAACAGGAUUAGAUACCCUGGUAGUCCACGCCGUAAACGGUGGAUGCUGGAUGUGGGGCCCGUUCCACGGGUUCCGUGUCGGAGCUAACGCGUUAAGCAUCCCGCCUGGGGAGUACGGCCGCAAGGCUAAAACUCAAAGAAAUUGACGGGGGCCCGCACAAGCGGCGGAGCAUGCGGAUUAAUUCGAUGCAACGCGAAGAACCUUACCUGGGCUUGACAUGUUCCCGACGAUCCCAGAGAUGGGGUUCCCUUCGGGGCGGGUUCACAGGUGGUGCAUGUCGUCGUCAGCUCGUGUCGUGAGAUGUGGGUUAGUCCCGCAACGAGCGCAACCCUCGCCCGUGUUGCCAGCGGAUUGUGCCGGGACCCACGGGGACCGCCGGGGUUACUCGGAGGAA